AUUGAACGCUAGCGGGAUGCCAUACACAUGCAAGUCGAACGGAGUGGCGAACGGGUGAGUAAUGUAUCGGAACGUGCCCAGUAGCGGGGGAUAACUACGCGAAAGCGUAGCUAAUACCGCAUACUAUUGGAGCGGCAGAUAUCGGAGUAGCUCGUUGGUGGGGUAACGGCUCACCAAGGCGACGAUCCGUAGCUGGUUUGCGAGGACGACCGGCCACACUGUGACUGAAGCACGGCACAGACUCCUACGGGAGGCAGCAGUGGGGAAUUUUGGACAAUGGGGGAAACACUGAUCCAGCCAUCGCGCGUGUGCGAGGAAGGCCUUCGGGUUUUAAAGCACUUUUGGCAGGAAAGCGGUACCUGCAGAAUAAGCACCGGCUAACUACGUGCCAGCAGCCGCGGUAAUUC
rnacentral:rRNA from 1 species